AAGGCCCUUCGGGGUACUCGAGCGGCGAACGGGUGAGUAACACGUGAGCAACCUGCCCCAGGCUUUGGGAUAACCCUCGGAAACGGGGGCUAAUACCGAAUAUUACCUUCUGCCGCAUGGUGGGGGGUGGAAAGUUUUUCGGCUUGGGAUGGGCUCGCGGCCUAUCAGCUUGUUGGUGGGGUAAUGGCCUACCAAGGCGACGACGGGUAGCCGGCCUGAGAGGGCGACCGGCCACACUGGGACUGAGACACGGCCCAGACUCCUACGGGAGGCAGCAGUGGGGAAUAUUGCACAAUGGGCGGAAGCCUGAUGCAGCGACGCCGCGUGAGGGAUGACGGCCUUCGGGUUGUAAACCUCUUUCAGCAGGGACGAAGCGUAAGUGACGGUACCUGCAGAAGAAGCGCCGGCCAACUACGUGCCAGCAGCCGCGGUAAGACGUAGGGCGCGAGCGUUGUCCGGAUUUAUUGGGCGUAAAGAGCUCGUAGGCGGCUUGUCGCGUCGACUGUGAAAACCCACAGCUCAACUGUGGGCUUGCAGUCGAUACGGGCAGGCUAGAGUUCGGUAGGGGAGACUGGAAUUCCUGGUGUAGCGGUGAAAUGCGCAGAUAUCAGGAGGAACACCGGUGGCGAAGGCGGGUCUCUGGGCCGAUACUGACGCUGAGGA
rnacentral:rRNA from 1 species